rnacentral:rRNA from 1 species
GACGAAGGAUGCAAGCGUUAUCCGGAUUCAUUGGGUUUAAAGGGUGCGUAGGCGGCCCGGUAAGUCAGUGGUGAAAUCUCUGAGCUCAACUCAGAAACUGCCAUUGAUACUGCUGGGCUUGAGUACAGUUGCUGUGGGCGGAAUAUGACAUGUAGUGGUGAAAUACUUAGAGAUGUCAUAGAACACCGAUUGCGAAGGCAGCUCACAAAACUGUAACUGACGCUGAGGCACGAAAGUGCGGGGAUCAAACAGG